rnacentral:rRNA from 1 species
AUCAGUAGCCGACCUGAGAGGGUGAUCGGCAACAUUGGAACUUAGACCCGGUCCAAACUCCUACGCUACGCAUCAGUGGUGAAUAUUGCACAAGGGGCUACACCAUGAUGCAGCAACGCCGCGUGCGUGAUGAAGGCUUUCGAGUCGUAAAACUCUGUCCUCAAGGAAGAUAAUGACGGUACUUGAGGAGGAAGCCCCGGCUAACUACGUGCCAGCAGCCG